GAUGAUAUUUCUUUUUGGUAUCGGAUAUUGUGGUAUAUAUUGAGGGAUUGAAAUUGUGUGAUGCCAUAGUAUAUCACAAUGGUAGUCCGCCAGGCGUGAAUAAAAAGGAUUGUUUUGCUGAGCGAAAUCUUGCGUUUCGUGCUGUGCUACUUACUUGAUUCCGUGUAAACAAACUACUUAAGUAGUACAGCUUCGAAGUAGCACAAACUUAAACGAAUAGAACCUAAGAAAAAUUAAUUGUGAAGCUGUACUUAAAAGCCAGGUUUGUGACAUCAAACUGUCAUGGCGGCGACCAUAGAAAGGUUUGAGUGUGUGACACUGAUGCAAUGAUGACAGUGAUCUGGAAGAAUCUUUUAAUGAUGACAACUUUAUACAUUCUUGCAUUGCAUAGCUGUGAAAAACACUUUGUUGAUAAUGUUGAUAGCUAGCCAGAUCGAUUUCCAUGCUGGACUCAUCAUUUUGAACACUGCUAAUAAGCCUGAUCUCUGUGUAAUAUUUGAAGGAACACGUUCAAUUAGCAUUGGAUUUAUUGGCUACAAUGCCGCCAUCACAAAACAGUUCUCAACUAUGGGUAGACUUCAUGAAGUGUCAUCCCAUGGAUGGAAAAUACCGGAAUUGAUGGAUUGUCGAUGAAAUUUAAAAGAGUUGUUCUGAUUGAAUUAGAGCUGUUGAAAAGAUGUGAAGAAGAAGUCGGCAUACUCAAAAAAGAAAUGUCUAGCUACUUGCUAGACAUUUCUUUAUAUUAUGGAAUAAUUGAAAAAUGGUCAAUAGCUCCGACUUUUAUGCA